ensembl:lncRNA
CUAAUAGGCCUAUCUCACGAAAAUCGGAAAUGACGUCACACCGGGUAAACAUUCUUCCGGCGUAGUCAUUUUUGUAUUGCCGUCAAUGCAAAAAUGGAUCGUUUCUUCGCCACUUCCCUGGUGGGUAUUCCCAAAUUGCGAUUCGAAGAUGUGCAGAAGAUUGUGGAGACACACUCAGCAACACCACAGCCCAGGCUGACAAAGGGGUACAAGUUUUUGUGGAGGAGUUUGUACACAAUUAUCAAGAUCACCCUGGAGGCUGUUGGACAACUGGGUCUCUCAGAGCUGUAGCUGUGCUGCGGGCAAAGGCUUCUGUAGCCAUAUAACCGCUCUGUUCCAGACAGCGCAUUAUGUGCAGCUGGGCCUUGAUGUGGUUCCACCUUCCCUGGCCUGGAAUCCAUCCAGAGGCUGUGAGUGACCUGGUGGUGAAGAAACCCAAGUCGGUGGGGAAGACUGGAGUCAAGUCCACACUCUACAGAGCGUAUGCUG